rnacentral:rRNA from 1 species
GACGUAGGGCGCGAGCGUUUGUCCGGAUUUAUUGGGCGUAAAGAGCUCGUAGGCGGUUUGUCGCGUCUGCUGUGAAAACUCGAGGCUCAACCUCGGGCUUGCAGUGGGUACGGGCAGACUAGAGUGCGGUAGGGGAGAAUGGAAUUCCUGGUGUAGCGGUGGAAUGCGCAGAGAUCGGGAGGAACACCCGUAGCGAAGGCGGCACUCUGGGCCGGUACUGACGCUGAGGAGCGAAAGCGUGGGGAGCGAACAGG